UUGGGUCACUUAGGAAACUGAGGAAAAUGAAAGAUUAAUGAAUAAUAUAGAAAAUUUUGACUUCUGUGCUUAACGUUGUUUUUGUUUAUUGAAAUGCUAAAUAGGAAAUCAAAAACCUCAAUUCAAUUUUUUAAGCAAAAAACUGUGGUGGGUUAUUGUUCCAAUUUUGAUGUAGAUAUUUAGUUUUGAUUUUUUAAUGUGAAAAAUCGAGAGCCAUUGAAUUCAGUGAUUAUAACUUUUCAUUUUUGUCAUCAUUUUUUUAAGGAAGCAUCAGAGAGAAUAAGAAUUAAUAAUGUUACAUAUUUGGAUUUGGUUUGGUUGGGGGGGUUUGUUUAAUUUCUUUGCUUUAUUGGUAUUAAAUUACAAAAAAUUUGUAUUUCUAGUGGGCUUGCUGGUUUUGAUUUUUUUUUUUUCCCCUAUUGAUUGAGUUGUAUUUCUAUUUGCUUUCCUGGAUUAUGUUAUGAAGCUCCUUUUGCUUUUGUUUGUAAGUUGAUAUGUUCAUACAUAUAGCUGUUGUGUUUAAUAUUUUUUAAUUGUUUGAAUUUCUAGUGGCCCACCUCGCUUUGAAGGAGGUUCAAAAUUUGGAGAUCAUGAUGGGUACCGUGGAGGUCCUCGUGGUCCUCCAGGUGAAUUUGGUGGUGAGAAGGGAGGAGCUCCACUGGAUUUCCAGCCCUCUUACAGGCCACUGCCUACCUAUCAGUACUUUGAGAAUGUCCAGAACUUUUUGGUGGCUAUUGAAGAGCUGAAAUUGCCUGGCUUUGAAGCUUGAUCUGCCCAACCCACCACCUUCUCCGGCCGCUGCAGCCUCCAGCCUCUAUCCCGAUCUGCCCUCUCAAGUUAGGGUUCUCCACUCUCUAGAUCACACAAAUUUACUCAAAUUUUGUUCCUGGUAAGGCCUUAUUCGAACACAGAAACACAGAAUCUACUGUUAUUAGAAUUGUAUUUUUUUUGUUUUACGUGUGUUUCAUGGCUGAUACUUAUAUGUAAAGUGCUUUGGGUGGGGGAGCCAAACUCAAUGCACUCUGUGCUACUGUUUGGA